GACAGAGGGUGCAAACGUUGUUCGGAAUUACUGGGCGUAAAGCGCGUGUAGGCGGCUAUGCAAGUCGGAUGUGGAAGCCCUCGGCUCAACCGGGGAAGUGCACCCGAAACUGCAAAGCUAGAGUCUCGGAGAGGAUCGUGGAAUUCUCGGUGUAGAGGUGAAAUUCGUAGAUAUCGAGAGGAACACCGGUGGCGAAGGCGGCGAUCUGGACGAUGACUGACGCUGAGACGCGAAAGCGUGGGGAGCGAACAGG
rnacentral:rRNA from 1 species